AGUAAAAUGACAGAUGAAAUGUGUUAAAUUGUAAAUUUAUUUAUAAAUAGAAAUAUUUUUUUACUA
rnacentral:tRNA from 1 species